rnacentral:tRNA from 1 species
GAGUCGGUGGUAUAACGGUUAGCAUAGCUGCCUUCUAAGCAGUUGACCCGGGUUCGACUCCCGGCCGACGCA